AAUCAUUUUUCGUUGGUCUCGCGUUUAAUGAGCUUAUUCUUAAUUUUCCUAAGUAUUUUUCCUAGGAUUGUUUCGCUUUUUGUGGUAUCUCCCAUCUCGUAUUCUUAUCAUCUGAAAGUUUUAAGUUUUUUCUGAUACAAUUGAUAUUUCAAAGAAAACGAUUUUAAUAUUGUAUAUAAAUAUAUUAAUAUUUAGGAGUGUAAAAACUUGUGUGCUAAAUUGCAAAUUUAUUCAAAGAAGUGCCACUUUUCUUCGCAACAGCAGGUGUGAAUUGUUUCAACAAUUAUUAAGCAAUUUUUGUAAUAUUACCUAAACAAAAAUCGUCAUGGAGUCUAAUACUAAGUCAAAGAUGUCAAGCACCAGUAAAUCCAUCAGCAGUUCAUCAACAAUACAGCAGUCGUCCACUAUAAGCAUACAAAGCAGUAGCAACAAACAAAUAUUUACUAUUGAUGCCGGGGAAUUAACGAAAAUGCCUUCAGUUCCCAUUAUCCAUAACGAUACAGCCAGAACUGGCAAGCAAAAAGGGGCUCUUACAACGCCAGUUAACGAAAAUGCACCUUUUCAGAAGCAAUCACAAUUUCAAUAUUCUAAUGAAGAUCUGCCCGCCAUAAACCAGCUCUCUUCGUCUUUACCAACUUCAUCCUUUUCUUCACAACCUUCUACCGAUAUGAAGAAAACUUCAAAAACCGACGCAGUAUCGGAUAUAUUAAUAAGUCACUCUGUCAUGUUAAUGGAAUCUACCAAAAAACAGCUAAUAACAGCUGCUUCUUCUACCUGUACUAAUAAUUCGUCUGGCUUAUUGAAAUCUUCCGAAUCUGUCGAACGAGCUUGUUUACAAACCUCAUCUAGUAUGGAAGAAGCUAAAUUAGAAAUCAAAUCAUAAAUGUAUAUACAAGUAUACAAGUAUUUCUUAUGUAUAGUUGCACAGGGCAUAUUUAAUGUGUGUCUGUAUUUGAUGCAACAAAUUAAUAAACAAAUUUACGUAAAUGUAUAAGUAUGUAUUUGGGGCAUUCAUUUUAUCAUCAAUUUGGUUGUUCUCAUUGAACUGUUUCCGAUUCGCUAAUUAUUUGUUCUCUAUAUGUAGACGCUGCUAUCUUGUUGAUUCACCAAGCGUUGGAGUGAAGCGAACCGAAGAAACUGUACCAGAGGUUCAAACAAAUUUGAAACACUUGCUGUUCAACCCUGCGGUUACAUGUCUUCUGAAGCAUGCGCAAUUGUAUUGCGAUCCCCUUUGGUUGUGUAUUUCUUAUCUUCGUCCAAAAACGUUUCAGUAACUUCUUACUCUUGUUUGUGAAAAAUUUAUUAAAGCUUUAUGUUUAAAAUAGAAAACAUAAAAAAAUCUUAAUACUUUCAAUAUGUAAUUUGAGCUAUGCAGUAAAACUUAUAACUGACCUAAAAUAUGCAAAACGAACUUGGUAGCAUUACUCUCGUACGAAAUACAUUCUUUUUAUCCUAUUAUUCACAUAAUUAAUUAUUCAAUUCAGUGAACAUUUUAUCUACGAAUAAAAGCAAAAACGUUUUGUAUAAGAAUAAGUGAUUGUACUUGAGGUUUAAUUAUGAAUAUCUUCAUACAAAUAAAUUUCAUUGGAAAAAUUAACGAAUUUAAGCCUUCUUUAUCAAUGUCUGGUUACCAGUUGAUAGAGUUGUUCGUUUAAUAGAUUGUACUUAAUAAACAUUAACAAUAUGCAUGGUUAAUGGUGGUGUACGCUUAAUAGAGUGUCCAUUGAAUAUCACUGUAUUUUUUAUUUAUGAAUUGUUUUUACUAUUCUAUCUUCGAAGUUGGUUCGAACUGAACACAUUGUGCUAAAUUUUACUAAAGUCGGUUCAGUAGAUUAGGAAACCAUUGCGGACAAACAACGUGACACGUACUUUUAAUAUAUAAAGAUUUACACGACACGGCACAAUAUUGAACGAAUCGAAGACAUCUAUUUUCUCAUUAUUUCUUCUAAGACUUCAUCUAUCUAUUCCUUCCGUUUUUAUUUUCUUGACACAUUGAAGGGCAGUAGAAACUAAUAAAGUACAAGACUUUAUAUGUUUGUGUUUUUUAGAAUAAUAUAAGGAUAGCUUACUCGUUCGCUUAUAUAUAUUUAAUUUUGAUUAAUUCAGCACUUUAAAGUAAGUUUCGGCUAUCAUCGUCAUGGCGCCAGCGGAUUCCAGAUACUACGUAAUGGGAUGAUGGCGGCUAUAGCACCAAAAUUUUAAAUUAGAUGUUGAAUGCCUCAAAUACAAAACAUUUGUAUUCAACAAUGUAUUUUUGGGAGAUUUACAUGCAAACUAACAUUUCACAAAAAAUCACUUUACUAUAUUAACAACUUCCAACGUAAAAAGCUGUCAUUGCCUCCAAAACAUGGCGCCAAACUAUGUAUACCCCGGUAGCUUCUAAAAGCAACCGUUUUAUUCGGGGAUGCCACACAGAGAACUCCGCUUUAACGGCUAUAGACACAGUGAAUGAGUGAAGAAAUUAAAAAAAAAUAAUAAAAUAAAAUAAAUAUAUCAUAUAUAUUACACAGUACAACAGCUAAUCUGGGGGGUGAGAAAUUCCAAGUCAGGGUGAUGGUACUAAACCCUUUGAGGGUUUUACUAUACUGACCUAGUAUCCCGACAUGGAAUUUCUCACCCCCCAGACAAUAAUCCCAAAAAUGUUCCACAGUGUUAUUAUAUGUUUAUUAAAAAAUAAUAAUAAUGCAAAUAAAGUGAUUUGAAGAUAUUAUGAUUAUGCUUUUUACUUUUAUAUACACAUUAGGGUGUUUUUUUCAUCAUGUAAUUUCCUUGGAAAUGCCCUAAAAAAAUUCCCUGAAAAUUUGAGCACUUAAUAUUAACAUUAAAGACUGGACCAAGGCAUGUAAAUAUUUUCCAUAGAAAAUAUACAGGACAAUCGUGAUUUUUUAUCUUUAAAUUUCUAUAGCUCAGAGGCAUUUUAUGGCAUUGCUUUGACUUUAGACACAUACAUAUUUCUUAGAAUAGAACACUACAAAAGUGUCCAUUGCGACAAAGUCGAAACUCACACCGGCGAGGUAGUACGGGCUCUAAACCUGACUUUUUCACGAAAUUCGCAUUUCUUUGUAUAUAUCUCGUAAAUGACAAGAGCUAUAGAAAAAAUGUGCAUGACAAACUUGUAAGAAAUUUCAUAUGCUACCAAAAAGAUCCGUGGUCUAUUGUUUUUUUAGGGUAUUUCCAAGGAAAUUUUAUGAUGGGACUGAAAAAAAUGAAUAGUUCAAAAAAAGAAAAACACACCUAUACAUAUAUAUAUAGUAUAUAUAUAUCAGCAUUUUAAUACUAAGCAAACCAGCUCAGUGUAACUUGUGCUCCUCUUUAAAAGGCCUAAUUAAGAAAAAGUAAUGUGUUCGGAGUAUUGUAUUUUGUGUUGAAAUGUUUGCCCUAAAUGCUAUCGAUUAAAAAAUUUUAAAACUAUACAUAAAUAUGUAUUAAAAUAUUUAGUUAGAUAGUUUGCUAAGAAGAACUUUUAUAUUUUCUUGUUUGGUUCUACGAGCUCUACCUUAAUAAGCAUUUUGUGAUUAUUCAUAUCUGAUAUACAUAGAUCGAAAAAUAAAGUAUGUGUUUUUGAGACUUUCUA